rnacentral:rRNA from 1 species
AGAAUCAACGCUGGCGGCGUGCCUAACACAUGCAAGUCGAACGAGAAAGGGGAGCAAUCCCUGAGUAAAGUGGCGCACGGGUGAGUAACACGUGAAUAAUCUACCUCCGAGUGGGGAAUAACUGAGAGAAAUCUUAGCUAAUACCGCAUAAUACCCACGGGUCAAAGCAGCAAUGCGCUUGGAGAGGAGUUCGCGGCCGAUUAGCUAGUUGGCGGGGUAAUGGCCCACCAAGGCGAUGAUCGGUA